CCCCGGGUGGCGGAAUGGUAGACGCAGCGGAUUCAAAAUCCGCCGGGUAAAACCGUGUGAGUUCGAGUCUCACCUCGGGGACCA
rnacentral:tRNA from 1 species